AUGGAUGCAGGAAGAAGCUUAAUCUGUAAAUUUGAAGAGCUUUCAAAGUCAGACAUUUUAUGAAAGAAGUUUUAUCUAUUUAUAAAAAAAUGUAAAAACAUAUGUGAUGAAAUUGCUAAAAGUCCAAACUAUUUUUUUUUUUAGAGAACAAGGUACUGCCGAAUACUUUGUAUUUUCUCUAGGUGGAAGC